ACACGACUACAUUAGAUACCCGUGUAGUCCUAGCCGUAAACGAUACUCGCUAGGUGUCGGCCACGGUGCGACCGUUGUCGGUGCCGUAGGGAAGCCGUGAAGCGAGCCACCUGGGAAGUACGGCCGCAAGGCUGAAACUUAAAGGAAUUGGCGGGGGAGCACCGCAACGGGAGGAGCGUGCGGUUUAAUUGGAUUCAACACCGUAAACUCACCAGGGAAGACUGUUACAUGAAGGCCGAGAUGAAGACUCUGCUAGAUUUUCAG
rnacentral:rRNA from 1 species